AAUUGCAAUUAGUUAUUUUAAUUACAUUUCAUAUGUGUUACUCUAUUGAAAACAAAUUAAAAAUAAUUUAAUAGACCAUGAUGGACACAGAUAAUAAUACCAUUAACGAACGAAAAUAUGUCGAAGUUCUUUUAAAAAAUCAAAAAGACGUAGAUGAUAAAAAAACUUCUGAAUCUUCAGUUUUGUUAAAAAAAAAAUCAAAAGGGCGUUCAUUAAGAAAGAGAAUAGAUGACGACGAACAAGAAGAUGAUAUAGAUGUAUUUGGUAAACUUGAAGAAAUGAAAUCUAUGCAAAAACUCAGAGACAGGCCUAAUGGUGUAAAUAUCAUUAGCCUUGCACUAGGGGAGAAACUUUCUCAAGAAGAAGAAAAAUUAAUGGUUGAUCCAUUUAAAGUAAAAACUGGUGGAUUAAUAAAUAUGAAUGCUUUAAAAACUGGACAAGUAACUCAAGUAGAUGAUGCUUAUGAUACUGGAAUAGGAACACAAUUUUCAGCUGAAACUAAUAAACGAGAUGAAGACGAAGAAAUGAUGAAAUAUAUUGAUGAACAAGUGGCGGUACGAACAGGUCGAAUAUUAGAUAUAGAAGAUGAUAAUGUCAGUCUCAAUAAAUCAAACUAUUGUCCACCAGAAUUGGCAGCAUUACAAGCUGUCCCAUCACAUUUACNAAACUCAACCACUCACAGAUCUGAAGAAAUGUUAUCAAAUCAAAUGUUGAGUGGUAUCCCUGAAGUAGAUUUAGGAAUAGAGUUGGAAUGACUCAAAGAUUACAUAUACCUUGGCACUUUUCAAUUUUAUUAGAACUCAUUGACACAUAUUUUCAGACCAGGGACACUUUUAUUCAGGUGUAAAACAAACAUAAAAUUGUCACCUCAGUUCAUUUUGCAUCACUAAUCUGAUCGAUCUUAACAUUUAAUUAUUUCCACCUAUUUUAGAUAUACAUAAAAUAAUAUUAUAUUCAUAAUAACCAGGGCUCGAGACUUCCAACACUAAAAAAAUAUAAAAUAUGCCCAAUA
rnacentral:misc_RNA from 1 species